UGCACUAUAUUUCUGAUACUAUCACAAGUUUCCUAAGCCGUGUACAUAACGGUAUAACAUAUUACCAGUGCGCAAGGUCCGAAAUUCUUCAAGAUUGGUUAAACAGAAAUCUAAAACAACAGCUUUGUGUAAACAAGAGGGAGAGAAGCCAGGUCGCUGUCAAACAUGCGAUUCCACCUCCUUAUAACGGUAUAUCUGGCAGUAGCCUAUGGACUGUCACAAUCGACUGCAGCACGAACGACAAUCACAAAAAAGAUGGCUACUACAACCACACGUCUCACAACCACACCUACUACAAUAAAACCUUCUACAUUUACACGAAUUACAACAGCACAUACUGCAAUAAAACCUCCCACAACACCUACUACAACA